ACGUAGUGGGACUGUGGCCCAGAGAGCGGAGUGGGGAUUCAUCUGCCCAAGCAAAGACCAGAGCAUUUCAAGGCUUACAGACCUCGCCCCUCAGCAAAGCCUACUUCCAGGCCCAGGGCUUAGAACAGUCAACGCCAGACAUACGGAAGCACUUAAUAAAUUUUUGCUGAUGGAUGAGCAAAUCAACGGACGAGUGACGUGGAUGGAUAUGGGCCUUUGGAAAGUAAUGUCAGCAACAGACUAGCAGAGAGAGGGAAAAGGCUUUCAUAAGCAGAGGGAACCACGUGGGCAAAAGCAGAAGGGGCAGAAAUGACUUGGUUUGCUCGGCAGUUGGCAAGCUGGGACCAGAGUUCCUGCGAAGAGUUUUGCACAGAUCUUGGAUUUGAUCCCAUGAAUCUGGUUUCAUGAAACUAACUGCAGCUCACCUAUUUUGAGUGCCUGCUUGAUGGUAAACACCGUUAGAGAAGCUUGGGUUCAUUUAAUCCUUACGUCAAUCCAAGGGAGCCUGCACUACUUUUACAGAUUGGGAAACCGAGUCGCGGGGAUGUUAAGUACUAUAAUAGGACUGCUCUUUUUUAAGUCGACUGUUCAGGGGGUGCCUGGGUGGCUCAGUAGGUUAAGCCUCUGCCUUC